rnacentral:rRNA from 1 species
UACGUAGGGUGCAAGCGUUUAUCCGGAAUUAUUGGGCGUAAAGAGCUCGUAGGCGGUUUGUCGCGUCUGCUGUGAAAACUGGAGGCUCAACCUCCAGCCUGCAGUGGGUACGGGCAGACUAGAGUGCGGUAGGGGAGAUUGGAAUUCCUGGUGUAGCGGUGGAAUGCGCAGAUAUCGGGAAGAACACCCGUGGCGAAGGCGGCUCUCUGGGACGGUACUGACGCUGAGACGCGAAAGCGUGGGGAGCGAACAGG